rnacentral:rRNA from 1 species
AGAGUUUGAUUCUGGCUCAGGAUGAACGCUAGCUACAGGCUUAACACAUGCAAGUCGAGGGUAGCAGGGUAGCAAUACCGCUGACGACCGGCGCACGGGUGAGUAACACGUAUCCAACCUUCCCAUAACUCAGGGAUAGCCUUUCGAAAGAAAGAUUAAUACCUGAUAGUACUUUUUCAAGGCAUCUUGAGAAAGUUAAAGAUUUAUUGGUUAUGGAUGGGGAUGCGUUCCAUUAGAUAGUUGGUGAGGUAACGGCUCACCAAGUCUUCGAUGGAUAGGGGUUCUGAGAGGAAGGUCCCCCACAUUGGUACUGAGACACGGACCAAACUCCUACGGGAGGCAGCAGUGAGGAAUAUUGGUCAAUGGGCGAGAGCCUGAACCAGCCAAGUAGCGUGAAGGAUGAAGGUCCUAUGGAUUGUAAACUUCUUUUAUAGUAGAAUAAAGUGAUCCACGUGUGGAUUUUUGUAUGUAUACUAUGAAUAAGGAUCGGCUAACUCCGUGCCAGCCGCAGC